AUCCAGCUGACGAGUCCCAAAUAGGACAAAAGGCACGUCCUAGAU
rnacentral:hammerhead_ribozyme from 1 species